rnacentral:rRNA from 1 species
GCCUAACACAUGCAAGUCGAACGAGAUCUUCGGAUCUAGUGGCGCACGGGUGCGUAACGCGUGGGAAUCUGCCCUUGGGUACGGAAUAACUCAGAGAAAUUUGUGCUAAUACCGUAUAAUGUCUUCGGACCAAAGAUUUAUCGCCCAAGGAUGAGCCCGCGUAGGAUUAGCUAGUUGGUGAGGUAAAAGCUCACCAAGGCGACGAUCCUUAGCUGGUCUGAGAGGAUGAUCAGCCACACUGGGACUGAGACACGGCCCAGACUCCUACGGGAGGCAGCAGUGGGGAAUAUUGGACAAUGGGCGAAAGCCUGAUCCAGCAAUGCCGCGUGAGUGAUGAAGGCCCUAGGGUUGUAAAGCUCUUUUACCCGGGAUGAUAAUGACAGUACCGGGAGAAUAAGCUCCGGCUAACUUCGUGCCAGCAGCCGCGGUAAUACGAGGGGAGCUAGCGUUGUUCGGAAUUACUGGGCGUAAAGCGCGCGUAGGCGGUUUUUUAAGUCAGAGGUGAAAGCCCGGGGCUCAACCCCGGAAUUGCCUUUGAAACUGGAAAACUAGAAUCUUGGAGAGGUCAGUGGAAUUCCGAGUGUAGAGGUGAAAUUCGUAGAUAUUCGGAAGAACACCAGUGGCGAAGGCGACUGACUGGACAAGUAUUGACGCUGAGGUGCG